rnacentral:tRNA from 1 species
GGGCGGAUAGUUCAGUGGGAGAACGCCUGCUUCACGCGCAGGAGGCCGCAGGUUCAAAUCCUGUUCCGCCUA